rnacentral:rRNA from 1 species
UAAGGCUAGGGGGUCAUCCCGACUUACCAACCCUUUGCAAACUCCGAAUACCGUGGAGUACAGCAUGGCAGACACACUGCGGGUGCUAACGUCCGUUGUGGAAAGGGAAACAACCCAGACCGUCAGCUAAGGUCCCAAAGUUAUGGUUAAGUGGGAAACGAUGUGGGAAGGCCCAGACAGCUAGGAGGUUGGCUUAGAAGCAGCCACCCUUUAAAGAAAGCGUAAUAGCUCACUGGUCGAGUCGGCCUGCGCGGAAGAUGUAACGGGGCUAAGCAAUAUACCGAAGCUGCGGCAGCACGUAAGUGCUGGGUAGGGGAGCGUUGUGUAAGUGGAUGAAGGUGUGUUGAGAAGCAUGCUGGACAUAUCACAAGUGCGAAUGCUGACAUGAGUAACGAUAAUGGGGGUGAAAAACCCCCACGCCGGAAGACCAAGGUUUCCUGUCCCAUGCUAAUCAGGGCAGGGUAAGUCGGCCCCUAAGGCGAGGCAGAGAUGCGUAGUCGAUGGGAAACGGGUUAAUAUUCCCGUACUUAUAAGUACAGUGAUGGGGUGACGGAGAAGGCUAGGCUGGCAUGGCGUUGGUUGUCCAUGUGAAAGUGCGUAGGGUGGGUGUUUAGGAAAAUCCGGACACCUGUAUGCCUGAGACACGAGACGAUGCACUACGGUGCAGAAGCAGUUGAUGCCCGGCUUCCAGGAAAAUCCUCUAAACGUAUGUACUUAUGAACCGUACCCCAAACCGACACAGGUGGUCAGGUAGAGAAUACCAAGGCGCUUGAGAGAACUCGGGUGAAGGAACUAGGCAAAAUGGUACCGUAACUUCGGGAGAAGGUACGCCGGUCGAUGUGAAGGACUUGCUCCGUAAGCAUUGAUCGGUCGAAGAUACUAGGUGGCUGCGACUGUUUAUUAAAAACACAGUACUCUGCAAACACGAAAGUGGACGUAUAGGGUAUGACGCCUGCCCGGUGCCGGAAGGUUAAUUGAUGGGGUUAGCUUCGGCGAAGCUCUUGAUCGAAGCCCCGGUAAACGGCGGCCGUAACAAUAACGGUCCUAAGGUAGCGAAAUUCCUUGUCGGGUA